ACCAAAUCCCUAUGUGGGGCAAACCAACAAGGUUGUGGAGUAGAAAGAUAUUGGAGUCAUUUUCCUAAUAAAAGAAAGAAAAAUUAGAAAACCCUAUGCUAUAAAAAUGGAAAAUGCCAAGCCAUGGUCAAGGGUACAAAAGGAGAAGAGUUACCACUCUCUUGCUUCUCCUAAAAGUGAAGGUUUGUACUCUUUUGUGGGGUUGAUAUCAAGGGUCACUAAUAAACACUGUUCUAGGUAGCAUUCAUCGGUGUAUCUAUGUAGAUGAGUAGGUUUAGCUCUUAAUCAAGCUUUAUCUUGGUGGCUAGAAUCUAGGUUUUGGAUAGUGAUAUCUUUAGACUACUAAGAUGGUAGGGAUCAAAAGGAUUUGGCUCUAUCUAACUAUAUAGGAAACAAUUUGAUGUAAAAUGAAGAAAAAUAGAGCAUAAAGCAAGUAUAUUUAAGUCGAUAGACCAAGUAAAGGAUUAAAGUUAAAGAAACGGCACAAGAUCUAUAAAAAAAAAAAUCAUCCAUUAAAGCAAAAUUUGUAUGCUGUAGACCAGCGGUCAACAGCAUAAAUCCACUUAGCACUUGGCCAUCAAUCUCACAAUUUGACACUUAGCACUCCAAUACUUCAAAAAAAAAAUCUUAUAUUAGUUUGAAUUAAAACUUAUAGAAAGUCGAUUGAACCUUACAAAUAUAAAUGCCAAAUUUGUUGUUUUUCCUUAUUCUUCAUUAUCUUUCUAGUUUGAAUACAAUCAAGUUUCAUGAGUUGUAUGUUGCUUCUAGAAGCAUCUUUUGGAUGUCCAAUAGCUUUCAGUGGCUUCAAGGUUUAGAUCUUUUAUUUCUAGUAAAAGCUAGGAAUUAUUGUUUAUGACCUCAUUAUCUAUGUUGCUUCAUGUAGCCUUUUAGAUGACAAGUGAAUCAAAAUGUAGGGUUGACCUUAGUCUAGAUCUAAUUAGUAAUUUAAUAUCAUGUAAAUACUCAUAACUAGAAUAUGGGUCCAUACGAAAAUGCUCAUAAUAUUGGCUUUCACGAUUCAAAAUUUGAUUCGCAAAUAGAGACCAUAUUUCCGCAAAUAGGUACAACAAAUUAUUGAAAAAACACACAAAAUUACAAUUUUAAAAGCUACAUCUUCGAACCUCUAAAACCGUAUAAAAAAUCCC
rnacentral:lncRNA from 1 species